rnacentral:rRNA from 1 species
AGCGAACGCUGGCGGCAGGCCUAACACAUGCAAGUCGAACGAAGUCUUCGGACUUAGUGUCGGACGGGUGAGUAACACGUGGGAACGUACCUUUUGGUUCGGAACAACUCAGGGAAACUUGAGCUAAUACCGGAUGAGCCCUUAGGGGGAAAGAUUUAUCGCCGAAAGAGCGGCCCGCGUUAGAUUAGCUAGUUGGUGAGGUAAAGGCUCACCAAGGCUACGAUCUAUAGCUGGUCUGAGAGGAUGAUCAGCCACACUGGGACUGAGACACGGCCCAGACUCCUACGGGAGGCAGCAGUGGGGAAUCUUGCGCAAUGGGCGAAAGCCUGACGCAGCCAUGCCGCGUGAAUGAUGAAGGUCUUAGGAUUGUAAAAUUCUUUUACCAGGGACGAUAGUGACGGUACCUGGAGAAAAAGCCCCGGCUAACCUCGUGCCAGCCGCCGCAGUAAUAC